rnacentral:rRNA from 1 species
CUCGUAGGCGGUUUGUCACGUCGGGAGUGAAAACACCGGGCUUAACUCGGUGCUUGCUUUCGAUACGGGCAGACUAGAGGUAUGCAGGGGAGAACGGAAUUCCUGGUGUAGCGGUGAAAUGCGCAGAUAUCAGGAGGAACACCGGUGGCGAAGGCGGUUCUCUGGGCAUUACCUGACGCUGAGGAGCGAAAGUGUGGGGAGCGAACA